CGGGGUGGAGUAACGCGUGGGUAACCUGCCUCAUACAGGGGGAUAACAGUUAGAAAUGACUGCUGAUACCGCAUAAGACCACAGCACCGCAUGGUGCAGGGGUAAAAACUCCGGUGGUAUGAGAUGGACCCGCGUCUGAUUAGCUAGUUGGUGGGGUAACGGCCUACCAAGGCGACGAUCAGUAGCCGACCUGAGAGGGUGACCGGCCACAUUGGGACUGAGACACGGCCCAA
rnacentral:rRNA from 1 species